CCUACGGGAGGCAGCAGUAGGGAAUAUUGCUCAAUGGGGGAAACCCUGACGCAGCAACGCCGCGUGGAGGAUGAAGGUUUUCGGAUUGUAAACUCCUUUUGUUAGAGAAGAUAAUGACGGUAUCUCACGAAUAAGCACUGUCUAACUCCGUGCCAGCAGCCGCGGUACUACGGAGGGUGCAAGCGUUACUCGGAAUCACUGGGCGUAAAGAGCGCGUAGGCGGGAUAGCAAGUCAGAUGUGAAAUCCUAUGGCUUAACCAUAGAACUGCAUUUGAAACUGUUAUUCUAGAGUAUGGGAGAGGUAGGUGGAAUUCUUGGUGUAGGGGUAAAAUCCGUAGAGAUCAAGAGGAAUACUCAUUGCGAAGGCGACCUGCUAGAACAUAACUGACGCUGAUGCGCGAAAGCGUGGGGAGCAAACAGGAUUAGAUACCCCGGUAGUC
rnacentral:rRNA from 1 species